ensembl:ncRNA F26A1.17 ncRNA
AUCCAAAAACAGCAAUAACUCCCUUGAGUACAACAGUUGUUGGAGUUGCAGUCUUUUCAGUUACACGGAAUAAGAGAGUUAUAACUGAAAAGAUGCAAAUAUCAAUUCCUGAUCCAGCAAAUGCAUCAAAUAUUCCUCCAAUAAUUCCAGUAAAGAACAGAACCCAUCC